rnacentral:rRNA from 1 species
CCUACGGGAGGCAGCAGUGGGGAAUAUUGCACAAUCGGGGAAACCCUGAUGCAGCGACGCCGCGUGAGCGAUGAAGUAUUUCGGUAUGUAAAGCUCUAUCAGCAGGGAAGAAAAUGACGGUACCUGACUAAGAAGCCCCGGCUAACUACGUGCCAGCAGCCGCGGUAAUACGUAGGGGGCAAGCGUUAUCCGGAUUUGCUGGGUGUAAAGGGAGCGUAGACGGGGGUGCAAGCCAGAUGUGAAAGCCCGGGGCUCAACCCCGGGACUGCAUUUUGAACUGGGUGGCUGGAGUGUCGGAGAGGGAGGCGGAAUUCCUAGUGUAGCGGUGAAAUGCGUAGAUAUUAGGAGGAACACCAGUGGCGAAGGCGGCCUGCUGGACGAUGACUGACGUUGAGGCUCGAAAGCGUGGGGAGCAAACAGGAUUAGAUACCCGAGUAGUC